GAUGAAUGAGUCAGAGAGUUCAUUUGGAAUUUGAGUUUACCAAGAUAUGAAAGGCAAAGGGGUCUUCGUUUUAUUUCCAAAAAAGCAACAGCAACAGUCCUUAGAAGAAAAGUGAAAAAGUGACUAAGGCUGGAUGAAAGCAGACACAGCCAAAAGAUUGAUUUCAUAAACUGCAAGGGGACAAAAAGAGGUUAAGAGCUCAGCCACUGGUCGGAGGCCACUGCAGGCCAAGGAAAGGUUCUACCCUCAUAAUAGAGAGCAAGCAGUGCUGGAGGUUGUCAACUCUAUCAUGACCUGCAACUGAAACCAGAGUGAUUUCUC
rnacentral:lncRNA from 10 species